rnacentral:rRNA from 1 species
GCUUAGUCCUAAACUUCAUUAGUUAAAUUAACAAAACUACUCACCAGAAUACUACAAGCAAUAGCUUAAAACUCAAAGGACCUGGCGGUGCUUCACAUCCCUCUAGAGGAGCCUAUUCUAUAACCGAUAAACCCCAAUCCACCUCACCACCUCUUGCUCAGCCUAUAUACCGCCAUCUUCAGCAAACUCUAGUAACUAGGCCACAAAGUAAGCACAAAUACACACAUAAAAAAGUUAGGUCAAGGUGUAGCCCAUGAGAUGGUAAGAAAUGGGCUACCUUUUCCACCCCAGAAAAUUUCACGAUAGCCCUUAUGAAAUCUAAGGGCAAAAGGAGGAUUUAACAGUAAAUUAAGAGCAGAGUGCUUAAUUGAAUAAGGCCAUAAAGCAUGC